rnacentral:rRNA from 1 species
ACAGCAGUCGCCGCGGUAAUACGGAGGGUGCAAGCGUUAAUCGGAAUUACUGGGCGUAAAGCGCACGCAGGCGGUUUGUUAAGUCAGAUGUGAAAUCCCCGAGCUUAACUUGGGAACUGCAUUUGAAACUGGCAAGCUAGAGUCUUGUAGAGGGGGGUAGAAUUCCAGGUGUAGCGGUGAAAUGCGUAGAGAUCUGGAGGAAUACCGGUGGCGAAGGCGGCCCCCUGGACAAAGACUGACGCUCAGGUGCGAAAGCGUGGGGAGCAAACAGGAUUAGAUACCCCUGUAGUCCCUGUCUCUUAUAC